UACGAAGGGGGCUAGCGUUGCUCGGAAUUACUGGGCGUAAAGCGCACGUAGGCGGCUUUCUAAGUCGGGGGUGAAAUCCUGGAGCUCAACUCCAGAACUGCCUUCGAUACUGGAGAGCUAGAGUCCGGAAGAGGUAAGUGGAACUCCUAGUGUAGAGGUGGAAUUCGUAGAUAUUAGGAAGAACACCAGUGGCGAAGGCGGCUUACUGGUCCGGAAGCUGACGGCU
rnacentral:rRNA from 1 species